UGAGGCUGCACUUCCUGCAAGGCCCCUGCAGCAGCAGCGCCUUGGUCAGAGCGAGCUUCGGAGAAGCGGUGGUGGGUUCCAUGUGAUAGUGGAGUAGGAGGCAGCUCUCCGCGGUUCAUCUGUGUUGCUCUAAAUGACACUUUCAUUAUUUUGAUGGCUGAAGAAUAUUUCCUAGUGUAUGUAUAUGAGAAUUUCUUGAUCUCUUUAUCUGUGGAUGAACAGGUAGGUUGAGUUUAUACCUAGUAAUGGGACUGCUAGAUGAUAUGGUAUUUGUUUUUUUCCUAUUCUUUGCAAGACCUCUAACUGUUUUUAUAGUGUUAAUACUAAUUUAUGUUUCCACAAAUAGUUCCCCUUUCUGGAAAUUCAUACCAGGAAUUGUCUUUUUAAAUAUUUUGAUCUUUUUGUAAUGUUCAUUCUAUUGGAGUGAGAUAAGAUCUGAGUGUGGUUUUGAUCUGCAUUUUUCUCAUGAGUAGUAAUGUUAACCACGUUUUUGUAGACAUUGUGUCAGUUUCCUGUCUUCUUUGGAAAAUUAUCUAAUCCAGUUAUUUGCCCAGAUUUUAUCUGGCAAUUGUUCUGUUGUUUUGUUUUUUUUUUGCCAGCUGGUAGUGUGACUGGCUUGUACCUUUUCAAAAAUAAUCCCUUAUCCCAAACUUGUAAUUUUUAGUGUGCCUUUUUAUUUUGUUUAUUGUUUCCUUUGUUGGGCACAAAUGCUUCAGCUUGACGUGGUCCCACAUGUGUGUAAUUUCUUGGUGGCUGUGCUGUUGGUUACUAAUCAAGAAAAAACAAAAUCACUACCAAAGCAGUUCAUUGUCAAUAAUGUUUUUCCCUUGUAUUUUUGUUUACUUUUUGCGAACCCUGAGCAUACAUCCAAGUUGUCCUAAAUAUAUGCACACCCAAGGUUGUCUUUAUAGGAGCUUUAUGGUUGCAAGUUUUGUGUAUAAUCUUUUAUCAUUUUGAGUUGAUUAUUGUGUACCUAGUACCAUAGGAGUCCUGUAUUAUUCUUUUGCAUAUGGAUAUCUAGUUUUGGAAAUCUUCCCCGUUGUGUCAUUUUGGUGGUGUUUUGAAAAAUGUGUUCAUUCCAUAUAAAUUUUUGUUUAUUAUUGAGCACAUUCAUUUUGCUCACUGGUCUGUGUUUCUCUGUGUAUGUCAGUAACAUAUGGGUUUGUUUACUAUGGAUUUUCAUUUAAUUAGAACUCAGGGAAUGUGAUGCAUCCCAUAUGGUUUGUAUUUUUCAGAAUAGCUUUGGAAAUUCAGGGUGUUUCACAUUUCCACAUAAAUUUUGGCAUUGUUUCUUUAUAUUUCUUAAAACACUAUUUGUCAUAUGCUAAAUGUAUACAAUUAGAAGGUACAAGGAAGAUUUUGAUACAUGUAUAUGUUGAGUAAUGAUAAAAUCAGAUUAUUUAGCAUCUCUUCCUCUCAUAUGGUUAUUAUUUUUGAGUGGUAACAACAUUUAGAAUCUUUACUUCUAACUACUUUGAAACAUAUGAUACAUUUGUGUUAAGGCUACCUGCUGUGGAGUAGAAGACCAGAAUUGGUCUCUCUCAUCUGAGAGUAACUUUGUACCCCAUCACUGAUUCCUUCUGAGACCACCUCCACUUCCCCAGCAGCCUCUGCUUUCUUCAUGUGGCUGCAGAUGGCAGGAUUUCCCAAAGGCUUAUGGCUGAAACAUAUUCCGUGGUGUAUCUGUACAGCAGUUUCCUCAUCCCUGCAGCUGUGUUUGAACAGGUCAUUUACCAUGCUGUCCUCCAGGUUCAACAGUAUGGCUCCAAAUGAUGAAAUUUCACUUGAUUUUCUGGCUGAAGACUAUUCUGUUUGUGUACGUCCCCCACAGUUACUUUAUCCCUUCAUCUGUGGAUGGGCAGGAAACUCCAAACUGUUCAAGGAGAUAGUUCUGUUGUGAUUACUUCAUUGAGAAAUUUAACUUAUGAGCAGUUGAAAGGAAUGCAAGUUGCUGGAAAAUCAGAAUGAAGAGUGCAAAAUGACCAAGCUACAAUGUAUUGUCAUUAUUCACUCUGAUGUGAAAAAGGCAGUGAAUUUAAUAGAAAAUAACUUUGCAGAGUAAAAUCUCAGGUGUGUUUUUUUAGUGCCACAGCCUUGGAUGAUGUGUUCCUAGAAGCUGUCAACAUCUCUUCUUAAUUGGGGAAAGUGUUAAGCCCCAAAGUAGCUGGAGCAGUACAUCUUCAAUUUUUGACAAGAAAGCAGGCACUUGAUCACUUUGAGUGCUAUUCAUUAGUUUCUGCUUUCAUUGAGAAUGCAACAAAAGCCAACUAGGCUGCUGCUAACUCCUUGCUGGACAUCUUCUGCCACUGUCACAGGAACUGUGAUCUCACUGGACAAUUAACUAGGGAGCCUUUAAUCUUGAAUGACAGCUGCACAAAUGAUCUUCAAAGCAUUUUAGCCACCAGAGGAAUUCUCUUCAAAUACCCAAAAUCCAUCAGUAUCUUGAAUCAUGCUGGAUUUUGAAUAAUUCUUAACAAGCUAUGUAAAGGGGGCUCUCUGGCCUUGAAAUAGUGAUGUUUUUUAUACAGAAAGGAGAAUGCAGAAUGGUCAGACUACCAUGCACUGUUAAAUUUGAUUUCAAGAAAUUACAGGAAAACUUUCCAAAUUUCCAUCUCACAGAAUUUUUUUUUACAAAGAAUUCCAAGAUAAGUUUAGUUUUAUGGAAAAUUUUUAUGUGGUUUUUACUCACUCUUCAUCUCAGACAUCAACAGAUGAUUACAUCACUUAUUUAGCUAGUAAAUUUAUUAAUAUAAAACUCAGAGACAUUCCAAUAUCCACAUUGCUUACACCAUUAGGCAUAGAUUCAAUGUCAGCUAUGACAAUUGAAAAUAAGCUGUUUUGUGAUUUAAAGGUUUAAAUUUCUCUAACCAAACUACUUGAUCCAGAUGCAGCACUGCAAAUGUUAAUAUCUGUUCUGGAAGAACAAUCAAAUAAGACUUAAGAGGAAAAGGAAUGGCCACAAUCCACCUGAAAUUUUUUUAAAAAAAUAUGCAGCCUACUAAAUCAGAAUGAAAACAGAAGUACAAGAUUAUAAACAAAAUGCAACCAAACUUUUCUUAAGCUUACCUAAAGUUAUUUUAUCUGAAAAUUUCAAGCAGCUUUGUUCAACACUAAAUUGACAAUCUAAACUAACAUGUCUUUUGAAUUUAUGUAUGGUAGUAAACGUUCUCUCUAUUAACUUUAUUACCUAAGGCUAAACCUAAAAUUUUUAAGCAAAAUUAGAAAAAUAGUCUUCACUUGUCAAAAAAUAAAGUUUGUUACAUUUAGUAUUUUCCCAAUAAAAUUGGUCAUUCUUGGUUUUUUAUUUGGAGAAUCUGUGCAAAAUUUCACUAAAAAUAAAUUAGCACUAGAAAUUAUUUCUAAAUACCAAAAAAAAAAAUGAAGAAUGGUUUCACAAAGAAAAAAGGAAAACUUGCUUAAUUAGCAGAGUGUCAUCUCUGUGAUUUUGUGAUUAUUUGAUCAGUGUCCUGAGAUGGAUACGAUGGCAAGUAAUGACAAAAUUAAAAUAAGCAUGCAGAUUUUUUUAAAUUAAGUGCCAAAAAAUAAUGGGUCGUGCAAAGCCCUUAAAAACAUUGUGGCCUAAUUCUAAAGAUUUUUGCUACUAUGCUACAUCACACCCAACAUCAGUUAAGUGCUCAUUCUGUGACAGGUAGUACAUUACAUUUUAGCAAACUACACAAGACCCCUAUGUGAUAAUAUGCUUCAGGGUUGUAAAGUUGGGUGCAUUUACUAGUCUUGAAUUUUCUGGGAGUAUACAAACCCAACAUUAGUCUAGAUGCCCAAAAAUCUAUUUAGACAUCACAGUAGAAUGGAGAGUAAUCUUGACCACAGGAGGCUGUGUUGUGGCAUUUAUUUUGAAAUUAUUUUUUCUUGAUUUUUUUGCCUUUUAAUUGUUUUGUGAGUUUUAUAAUGUACAGAAUAUUUUUAAAUUAUUAUAUAUAUAAACUGAUUAGUCUUAAUUUUAAACUUGGGGUCUUGCCUCUGGGGUCUUACUUGGAUUUCUCCUAACAAUAUUAUACACAUAUUUGCAAUAAUUUCUCUCAUACUGCUUUUAACUCAUUUAAUUUUUCAGCCUUUUAAGAAUAACAAAAGUGAUAUUAAUUGUAAAAAUGCUGAAGUGACAUAUGAAUUUAUGCAGUGCAUAUGUAUUUUUUAUUUUACCAAUGAGAUGGGAGAAAUGUUGUCUUACAUUUUAACAUACAUUUUGGCCAUUACACAGAUGAAGCAACUUUUCAUUUGUUAAUACAUAAUGCAUACUUUUUCUUCUGUGCAAUUCCUCUUUAUAUUCUUUGCUCAUUUUCCCACCGGGAUUUGCAUGUUCUUUACUAUUUGAUAAUCUCUAUACAUUCUGAAUAUCCAUUUUUUGUUAUAUAUACCAUGUAAAUAUUUUCUUCUAAUUUGUUAUUUGUCUUUCAAUGGUAUUUAUCAAUUGUUUGCUAAAAAUGAGUUUGUUAGUAAAAUUUGUCUAUCUUUUACUUCAUGAUAUUUGUAUUUCAUGUCAUGAGGAAAAGGCAUGAAUAUUUUAAAAACUUCCUUGUAGUAUUAAUUUUAUUUUUUAUUUCAUUCUUUAUUUGAAAUUUAUUGUUUAUUUCUUCAAAUUCCAAAUAAUAAACAACUUUCUCAAAGCAAUGCUUCUUUCUAUUGAUUUCAAACAUUACAUUUGUCUUCUCUGAAGUUCUUGUCUAUUUGAUACCUGACUGUCACACUACUGCUGUGGAUGUGCUUCGUAGCAUCACAGUACUGCGGGGUUAUAAGAUUAUCUGAUAGCCAAUAGAAGCAGACCUCUACUCACUGUUGUUCUUUUUUCUUUUGGAGAAUAAAGUUAGCUAUUUUUAUCUGGGUUCUCAAUUUUUUUUUUUCUUUUUGAGAUGAAGCCUCGCUCUCUCACCCAGGCUAGAGUGCAGUGGCAUGAUCUUGGCUCACUGCAACCUCUUCCUCCCGGGUUCAAUUGAUUCUCCUGCCUCAGCCUCCUGAGUAGCCAGGAUUACAGGCAUCCAUUACCACGUCUGGCUAAUUUUUUUAUUUUUAGUAGAGACAGGGCUUCACCAUCUUGGCCAGGCUGGUCUUGAACUCCUGACCUCGUGUUGCACCCACCUCUGAUUCUCAAAGUCGUGGGAUGACAGGCGUGAGCCACCGCACCUA